GCUGGCGGCGUGCUUAACACAUGCAAGUCGAGUGCGCGUUUCCGUAGCAAUACGGAAAUGGUGCACGGCGCACGGGUGCGUAACACGUGGGUAAUCUGCCCUCUGAUGGGGAAUAACCCGCCGAAAGGCGGGCUAAUACCGCAUAACAUUCCUUGGACUCCGGUUCGAGGAUUCAAAGGCGUAAGUCGUCGGAGGUGGAGCCCGCGCACGAUUAGCUAGUUGGUGAGGUAAUGGCUCACCAAGGCUAUGAUCGUUAGCUGGUCUGAGAGGAUGGCCAGCCACACUGGAACUGAGACACGGUCCAGACUCCUACGGGAGGCAGCAGUGGGGAAUCUUGCACAAUGGGCGAAAGCCUGAUGCAGCGACGCCGCGUGGGGGAUGAAGCUUCUCGGAGUGUAAACCCCUUUCGACCGGGACGAAUACCUCGCAAGAGGGGUGACGGUACCGGUAUAAGAAGCCCCGGCUAACUACGUGCCAGCAGCCGCGGUAAGACGUAGGGGGCCAGCGUUGCUCGGAAUUACUGGGUGUAAAGGGUUCGUAGGCGGUGUGGCAAGUCGGGAGUGAAAUCUCUGGGCUCAACCCAGGGGCUGCUUCCGAAACUGCCGUGCUAGAGUGUGGGAGAGGCGCGUGGAAUU
rnacentral:rRNA from 1 species